rnacentral:rRNA from 1 species
CCUACGGGAGGCAGCAGUGAGGAAUAUUGGUCAAUGGGCGCGAGCCUGAACCAGCCAAGUCGCGUGAGGGAAGACGGUCCUAUGGAUUGUAAACUUCUUUUGUCUGGGAGCAAAAGACUCCACGCGUGGCGUUCCGAGAGUACCCGAAGAAAAAGCAUCGGCUAACUCCGUGCCAGCAGCCGCGGUAAUCCGGAGGAUGCGAGCGUUAUCCGGAUUUAUUGGGUUUAAAGGGUGCGCAGGCGGAAGAUCAAGUCAGCGGUAAAAUUGAGGGGCUCAACCUCUUCGAGCCGUUGAAACUGGUUGUCUUGAGUGAGCGAGAAGUAUGCGGAAUGCGUGGUGUAGCGGUGAAAUGCAUAGAUAUCACGCAGAACUCCGAUUGCGAAGGCAGCAUACCGGCGCUCAACUGACGCUGAUGCACGAAAGUGUGGGUAUCGAACAGGAUUAGAUACCCUUGUAGUC